rnacentral:rRNA from 1 species
UACGGAGGAUGCGAGCGUUAUCCGGAUUUAUUGGGUUUAAAGGGUGCGCAGGCGGCGUGUCAAGUCAGCGGUAAAAUGUCGGGGCUCAACCCCGGCCGGCCGUUGAAACUGGCGUGCUCGAGUUGGAGAGAAGUAUGCGGAAUUCGUGGUGUAGCGGUGAAAUGCAUAGAUAUCACGAAGAACCCCGAUUGCGAAGGCAGCAUACCGGCUUCACACUGACGCUGAGGCACGAAAGCGUGGGUAUCGAACAGG